rnacentral:rRNA from 1 species
AUUAAACGCUGGCGGCAUGCCUUACACAUGCAAGUCGAACGGCAGCACGGGGGCAACCCUGGUGGCGAGUGGCGGACGGGUGAGGAAUACAUCGGGAUCUACCCUGUUGUGGGGGAUAACGUAGGGAAACUUACGCUAAUACCGCAUAAGAACUGAGGUUGAAAGCGGCGGACCGCAAGGCGUCGCGCGAUUGGAUGAACCGAUGUCCGAUUAGCUAGUUGGCGGGGUAAAGGCCCACCAAGGCGACGAUCGGUAGCUGGUCUGAGAGGACGACCAGCCACACUGGAACUGAGACACGGUCCAGACUCCUACGGGAGGCAGCAGUGGGGAAUAUUGGACAAUGGGCGCAAGCCUGAUCCAGCCAUGCCGCGUGAGUGAAGAAGG